ACUCCUACGGGAGGCAGCAGUGGGGAAUUUUGGACAAUGGGCGAAAGCCUGAUCCAGCCAUGCCGCGUGCAGGAUGAAGGCCUUCGGGUUGUAAACUGCUUUUGUACGGAACGAAACGGCCUUUUCUAAUAAAGAGGGCUAAUGACGGUACCGUAAGAAUAAGCACCGGCUAACUACGUGCCAGCAGCCGCGGUAAUACGUAGGGUGCAAGCGUUAAUCGGAAUUACUGGGCGUAAAGCGUGCGCAGGCGGUUAUGUAAGACAGUUGUGAAAUCCCCGGGCUCAACCUGGGAACUGCAUCUGUGACUGCAUAGCUAGAGUACGGUAGAGGGGGAUGGAAUUCCGCGUGCAGCAGUGAAAUGCGUAGAUAUGCGGAGGAACACCGAUGGCGAAGGCAAUCCCCUGGACCUGUACUGACGCUCAUGCACGAAAGCGUGGGGAGCAAACAGGAUUAGAAACCCGAGUAGUCCC
rnacentral:rRNA from 1 species